rnacentral:lncRNA from 1 species
AACUAUACAAUGGAAAUAACAAUAGCAUCUAUAUCUCCUAGGAGUGUUUGGAAGAUGAGAUAAUUUCAAGCCAGAAGAGUACUUAGCACAGUGCCUGGCACAUAGAAUAUCCUUCCUAGUAGAUUGGAUAUAUCUUCAAAACUCUGCUCAAGAAUUACUUUGACUGUGAAGCUAGCCAUGGAUGAGACUACUUGGCUACAUGUGUCUAAUUUUAUUUAGGAAUCAUCAGGCAAAGCCAGUAACAUCAGAGGUGUCCACUGAAUGGCUCAGAGUUGAGAAAACCCACCCUCCUGGAAGCAGAGUGGCAGAGGAGCCAAAUGGUGAUCUGGAGAAUAUAGCAUUUCCAUUCACAAUCCAAGCAACAGGAGAAGCAAGGUAAGAGCAUGAGAGUUGGACAUCUUAAGCUAGUGGCAAAAGAAGAGUUCCAGGAAAAGCAAGGUGGGUGAUA